UCUUCAAAAUCUUCUUCGAGUACCUGUGAUUAAAGAGGAUUGCUUGAAGGAUAAAUUGGAAGAACAAAGAAAGGGUAAUGAUGCAAUUACAAGUGACAUGUUGGAAGAUAUCAUGGAAGAAUCGAUUACAAUUUUCUGGGAAUUUGUCAAGGCCAGACAAAGAUGAAACUCCAGUGAUCUUAAAGGGCCUGUUGAGAACUCAGGUUGAACUUCAAGACCCAUCAGACUAUGAACUCAUGAUUGAUAUUCAAGCCAUUUUGCAGAAGAAAGAGAAGAAGUUAAAA